rnacentral:rRNA from 1 species
CCUACGGGAGGCAGCAGUGGGGAAUAUUGGGCAAUGGGCGAAAGCCUGACCCAGCAACGCCGCGUGAAGGAAGACGGCUUUCGGGUUGUAAACUUCUUUUGACAGGGGAGAGCAGAAGACGGUACCUGUCGAAUAAGCCACGGCUAACUACGUGCCAGCAGCCGCGGUAAUACGUAGGUUGCAAGCGUUGUCCGGAUUUACUGGGUGUAAAGGGCGUGUAGCCGGGCUGACAAGUCAGAUGUGAAAUCCCGGGGCUCAACCCAAGAACUGCAUUUGAAACUGGUAGUCUUGAGUAUAGGAGAGGCAGGCGGAAUUCGUGGUGUAGCGGUGAAAUGCGUAGAUAUUAGGAGGAACACCAGUGGCGAAGGCGGCCUGCUGGACGACAACUGACGGUGAGGCGCGAAAGUGUGGGGAGCAAACAGGAUUAGAUACCCUGGUAGUC